UUGAGAAUAGUGAAAGAAUACUGGAAUAUUAUGCAGCAAAAAAGGUAAGAACGAGUUCAGUGGGAGAAACUGGCAAUGCACAUAGAAGAAAAACGCCACAACAGAGAUUCCAGCCCUAGAAAAUAGGCCUUCUUAAUUCAGAAGAUCACAUCAAUCGAUUCAAAAAUAGUUCAUGUCUAUUCACAAGCAUAUGAUCCACUUUGCUCACAUAUUCAACCAACGUUUCCUCAAACUAUUGUGUCAAAUCUGCAUGACCACUAUUGUUAUCUAAUAAGGGACACAUUCGUUCCACCACAAAUUAACACCUUAAAUCCAUAUGAACAUUUCUUUCACAUCUUAGGUUCUACAGCUCAGACAUCCCUGAAAAGCUGAAGCUGUCAAAGUUUCUUCAAUGAAAACUGCAGCAGAUGUCUAAUGAUAAAUUUUGAAAUCCCUACCAAAUAAUUAGGUGCAAAGUGGUCAUCAAGAGACAAUAUCACCAAUUGCAAAAUUGACUCAAUGGUAAACUCAAUAAAUGUAUCCUCACCAUUUGCAAAAGUCACCGAUUUUUUCUACAUCCAGCACAUGCAUAAUGCUUCACUAUCCAAACUACAGUAUAACUAGAACCUACCUUAUGUCAUAAAUUGAUAAAGUUCAUCAACUAUUCCAAAACAUAGCUAAAGGAUACAGCUUUUCCUUCAUAAUUAAUACUAUCAAGCAUCGAAUUCACCAUUCCACUUGGAAACUCACAAAUGAAAACAUAUUUUAUCUAAUUAGAAACAG
rnacentral:misc_RNA from 1 species